rnacentral:rRNA from 1 species
GACGAACGCUGGCGGCGUGCUUAACACAUGCAAGUCGAACGGAAAGGCCUGCUUUCCCUUGUGGAUUGCGGGUACUCGAGUGGCGAACGGGUGAGUAACACGUGAGUGAUCUGCCCCCAACUUGGGUAUAAGCCUGGGAAACUGGGUCUAAUUCCCGAUAGGACUGCAGGGUGGUGCCUGUGGUGGAAAACGAUUUUCUAGUGGUUGGGGAUGAGCUCGCGGCCUAUCAGCUUGUUGGUGGGGUAAUGGCCUACCAAGGCGGCGACGGGUAGCCGGCCUGAGGGGUGGACGGCCACAUUGGGACUGAGAUACGGCCCAGACUCCUACGGGAGGCAGCAGUGGGGAAUAUUGCACAAUGGGCGGAAGCCUGAUGCAGCGACGCCGCGUGGGGGAUGACGGCCUUCGGGUUGUAAACUCCUUUCGACCGCGAGGAAGCCACCUGGUUGGAGGGGUGGUGACGGUAGUGGUAGAAGAAGCACCGGCUAACUACGUG